rnacentral:rRNA from 1 species
UGUGCGGUAUCUGAAACAACACACACAUCAGAUAUCGGGAAUCCCUUUGGGGGAGAACCGAAUCCGAUGCGUAAAUGUUUCAUAGAGUUACGGCGGCCAUAGCGACAGGGAAACGCCCGGUCCCAUUCCGAMCCCGGAAGCUAAGCCUGUCUGCGCCGAUGGUACUGCACUCGACAGGGUGUGGGAGAGUAGGACACCGCCGAAC